rnacentral:rRNA from 1 species
GACGAACGCUGGCGGCGUGCUUAACACAUGCAAGUCGAACGGAAAUGCCCUGCUUUUGUGGGGUGCUCGAGUGGCGAAAGGGUGAGUAACACGUGAGUAACCUGCCCUUGACUUUGGGAUAACUUCAGGAAACUGGGGCUAAUACCGGAUAGGAGCUCCUGCUGCAUGGUGGGGGUUGGAAAGUUUCGGCGGUUGGGGAUGGACUCGCGGCUUAUCAGCUUGUUGGUGGGGUGGUGGCUUACCAAGGCUUUGACGGGUAGCCGGCCUGAGAGGGUGACCGGCCACAUUGGGACUGAGAUACGGCCCAGACUCCUACGGGAGGCGGCAGUGGGGAAUAUUGCACAAUGGGCGGAAGCCUGAUGCAGCAACGCCGCGUGCGGGAUGACGGCCUUCGGGUUGUAAACCGCUUUCGCCUGUGACGAAGCGUGAGUGACGGUAAUGUGUAAAGAAGCACCGGCUAACUACGUG